UAAACACAGACACAUACACAGCACUCACCAGAGGCGCCUGACACAGCAAGCCACCAGCAGUCGAGUGUCUUACCGCCACGCCACUUCUUGCUUCCCAACAUUCCCACAAGAUGUGGCGCACUGUCCUGUUGAUGACGGUGAUGGUGAUGGUGGUGGUGAUGGCGGCAACAGUCACUGAUCCCCCACAAUCACUUCAAGAUACCGAUGAUGCGACUGUAGAUGGAGGUGUUUAUGAAGUUAGUGGCAAUCUCGGAGGUUUCAGCGGUUUCGGAGCAGGCUAGAAAUAAUAUGAGCACAUCUCCACCGCUCCACCAGUGACGACCACUCUGUGCCGCCGCCACCACCACCACCACCAGCCAGGACGAUCCCCGCUCUUUUUCCCUCCCUUCCCUUUUUCUCUUCCCUUUAACUACACUCCUAAAUAUCAAAAGUAUUUCCAUUAGCUUUGUAACUAGGGAAUUAUCUCUCUCUCUCUCUCUCUCUCUCUCUCUCUCUCUCUCUCUCUCUCUCUCUCUCUCUCUCUCUCUCUCUCUCUCUCUCUCUCUCUCUCUCUCUCUCAAUUCCUAGCGUAUGAGAAUUAAAUUGGCAAAAUAA